GACGAACGCUGGCGGCGUGCCUAACACAUGCAAGUCGAGCGAGUUAAUCUCCUUCGGGAGUGAAGCUAGCGGCGGACGGGUGAGUAACACGUGGGCAACCUGCCUCAUAGAGGGGAAUAGCCUUCCGAAAGGAAGAUUAAUACCGCAUAAGAUUGUAGCUUCGCAUGAAGUAGCAAUUAAAGGAGCAAUCCGCUAUGAGAUGGGCCCGCGGCGCAUUAGCUAGUUGGUGAGGUAACGGCUCACCAAGGCGACGAUGCGUAGCCGACCUGAGAGGGUGAUCGGGCCACAUUGGGACUGAGACACGGCCCCAGACUCCUACGGGAGGCAGCAGUGGGGAAUAUUGCACAAUGGGGGAAACCCUGAUGCAGCGACGCCGCGUGAAGGAAGAAGUAUCUCGGUAU
rnacentral:rRNA from 1 species